UGGGUGUGGUCGAUGUCCAGGGAGCCCAGCAGCUUCUCUGUGGCCUUCCUGCUGUCCAUGAAGGUGUCAUCAGGGAUGGCACCGGGGUUCAGGAUGCGGUACCUGGGACAGCAGGGAGAGCUGGUGAGGAGAGGCUGGGCAGGGAGCCAAGGACUUGAGG